rnacentral:lncRNA from 1 species
CAGCAUCAGCUCAAGCACAAGCAUCAGUUCUUACUACAAGUGUUGGAUAGCUGGUCCUGCUGGCAGCUCACAGUUAGGCUCUUAACAAGUAGAAGAAGUAAUAGCCUGACCCAAGCCUCUGCUUUUGGUUUCAGUGCCUUCUCCUCAAUUCGACCAUGGGUGCCAUCAGUGGAGAGCUUCAGUCCUACAGCGAUGUCUGUGAAGCCCUGUCUGUUAUAGAGGUUACUCUGGGCUUUCUAGGCACAGCUGGUGGGGAUCCAAAUAUGCAUCUGAAUGUGUAUGUCCAAGACAUCCUGCGAAUGGGUGACCAAAUGACUCCAAUUUUAAAGGAUCCCUUUAGGGAAAUCAGUUCUAAGUACAAAGCAGACCUCAGCCCAGAAAGUGCUAAGCUCCUCAGCGCCUUCCUGAAUUACACAGACCUGGAUGCUUUCCUCCUAGAGCUUCAUGAAAUGAUGGUGUUGAAACUAAGAAACACUCAGACCCAGGA